GGCUCAGAGGGUAAAGAAUCUGCCUGCAAUGCAGGAGGUCCAGGUUCAAUCCCUGGGUCA
rnacentral:tRNA from 1 species